rnacentral:rRNA from 1 species
UUUGAUGGCGACCGGCGCACGGGUGAGUAACACGUAUCCAACCUGCCGAUGACUCGGGGAUAGCCUUUCGAAAGAAAGAUUAAUACCCGAUGGCAUAGUUCUUCCGCAUGGUAGAACUAUUAAAGAAUUUCGGUCAUCGAUGGGGAUGCGUUCCAUUAGGUUGUUGGCGGGGUAACGGCCCACCAAGCCUUCGAUGGAUAGGGGUUCUGAGAGGAAGGUCCCCCACAUUGGAACUGAGACACGGUUCAA